CAUUGCUAUUGGGAUUCGAUUUAGCCAUGCUAGUCGAACGAGUUCAUACUCGUGGCAGAUAGCUCAGUAACACGUGGCCAAGCUACCCUUCAGUCGGCAAUACCCUCGGGAAACUGAGGUUAAUGGCCGAUGUGGGACGCCUGCUGGAAUGCGGCGUUCUCUAAAGAUUACGCUGAAGGAUGCGGCUGCGGCCGAUUAGGUUGACGGUGGGGUAACGGCCCACCGUGCCAGUAAUCGGUACGGGUGAUGAGAGUCAGAGCCCGGAGACGGAAUCUGAGACAAGAUUCCGGGCCCUACGGGGCGCAGCAGGCGCGAAACCUUUACACUGCACGCACGUGCGAUAAGGGGACUCCGAGUGCGAGGGCAUAUCGUCCUCGCUUUCGUGUACCGUAGGGUGGUACACCAACAAGGGCUGGGCAAGACCGGUGCCAGCCGCCGCGGU
rnacentral:rRNA from 1 species